rnacentral:rRNA from 1 species
GAGUUUGAUCAUGGCUCAGAUUGAACGCUGGCGGCAGGCCUAACACAUGCAAGUCGAGCGGUAGAGAGGUGCUUGCACCUCUUGAGAGCGGCGGACGGGUGAGUAAAGCCUAGGAAUCUGCCUGGUAGUGGGGGAUAACGCUCGGAAACGGACGCUAAUACCGCAUACGUCCUACGGGAGAAAGCAGGGGACCUUCGGGCCUUGCGCUAUCAGAUGAGCCUAGGUCGGAUUAGCUAGUUGGUGAGGUAAUGGCUCACCAAGGCGACGAUCCGUAACUGGUCUGAGAGGAUGAUCAGUCACACUGGAACUGAGACACGGUCCAGACUCCUACGGGAGGCAGCAGUGGGGAAUAUUGGACAAUGGGCGAAAGCCUGAUCCAGCCAUGCCGCGUGUGUGAAGAAGGUCUUCGGAUUGUAAAGCACUUUAAGUUGGGAGGAAGGGCAUUAACCUAAUACGUUAGUGUUUUGACGUUACCGACAGAAUAAGCACCGGCUGACUCUGUGCCAGCAGCCGCGGUAAUACAGAGGGUGCAAGCGUUAAUCGGAAUUACUGGGCGUAAAGCGCGCGUAGGUGGUUCGUUAAGUUGGAUGUGAAAUCCCCGGGCUCAACCUGGGAACUGCAUUCAAAACUGUCGAGCUAGAGUAUGGUAGAGGGUGGUGGAAUUUCCUGUGUAGCGGUGAGAUGCGUAGAUAUAGGAAGGAACACCAGUGGCGAAGGCGACCACCUGGACUGAUACUGACACUGAGGUGCGAAAGCGUGNGGAGCAAACAGGAUUAGAUACCCUGGUAGUCCACGCCGUAAACGAUGUCAACUAGCCGUUGGGAGCCUUGAGCUCUUAGUGGCGCAGCUAACGCAUUAAGUUGACCGCCU